GACGAACGCUGGCGGCGUGCCUAAUACAUGCAAGUAGAACGCUGAAGGAGGAGCUUGCUUCUCUGGAUGAGUUGCGAACGGGUGAGUAACGCGUAGGUAACCUGCCUGGUAGCGGGGGAUAACUAUUGGAAACGAUAGCUAAUACCGCAUAAGAGUAGAUGUUGCAUGACAUUUGCUUAAAAGGUGCAAUUGCAUCACUACCAGAUGGACCUGCGUUGUAUUAGCUAGUUGGUGGGGUAACGGCUCACCAAGGCGACGAUACAUAGCCGACCUGAGAGGGUGAUCGGCCACACUGGGACUGAGACACGGCCCAGACUACUACGGGAGGCAGCAGUAGGGAAUCUUCGGCAAUGGACGGAAGUCUGACCGAGCAACGCCGCGUGAGUGAAGAAGGUUGUCGGAUCGUAAAGCUCUGUUGUAAGAGAAGAACGAGUGUGAGAGUGGAAAGUUCACACUGUGACGGUAUCUUACCAGAAAGGGACGGCUAACUACGUG
rnacentral:rRNA from 1 species